rnacentral:rRNA from 1 species
GAUGAACGCUGGCGGCGUGCCUAAUACAUGCAAGUCGAGCGAACAGAUGAGGAGCUUGCUCCUCUGACGUUAGCGGCGGACGGGUGAGUAACACGUGGAUAACCUACCUAUAAGACUGGGAUAACUUCGGGAAACCGGAGCUAAUACCGGAUAAUAUAUUGAACCGCAUGGUUCAAUAGUGAAAGACGGUUUUGCUGUCACUUAUAGAUGGAUCCGCGCCGCAUUAGCUAGUUGGUAAGGUAACGGCUUACCAAGGCAACGAUGCGUAGCCGACCUGAGAGAGUGAUCGGCCACACUGGAACUGCGACACGGUCCAGACUCCUACGGGAGGCAGCAGUAGGGAAUCUUACGCAAUGGGCGAAAGCUUGACGGAGCAACGCCGCGUGAGUGAUGAAGGUCUUCGGAUCGUAAAACUCUGUUAUUAGGGACGAACAAAUGUGUAAGUACCUAUGCACGUCUUGACGGUACCUAAUCAGAAAGCCACGGCUAACUACGUG